GAUGAACGCUGGCGGCGUGCUUAACACAUGCAAGUCGAACGAUGAAGCCCAGCUUGCUGGGUGGAUUAGUGGCGAACGGGUGAGUAACACGUGAGUAACCUGCCCUUGACUCUGGGAUAAGCCUGGGAAACUGGGUCUAAUACUGGAUAUGACUUCUCAUCGCAUGGUGGGGGGUGGAAAGAUUUAUUGGUGUUGGAUGGACUCGCGGCCUAUCAGCUUGUUGGUGAGGUAAUGGCUCACCAAGGCGACGACGGGUAGCCGGCCUGAGAGGGUGACCGGCCACACUGGGACUGGGACACGGCCCAGACUCCUACGGGCGGCAGCAGUGGGGAAUAGUGCACAAUGGGCGCAAUCCUGAUGCAGCGACGCCGCGUGAGGGAUGACGGCCCUCGGGUUGUAAACCUCCUUCAGUAGGGAAGAAGCGGGAGUGACGGUACCUGCAGAAGAAGCGCCGGCUAACUACGUG
rnacentral:rRNA from 1 species